rnacentral:tRNA from 1 species
GGUAGAAUUAAUUUAAUUGGUAAAAUAACGUCUUGUGGCGACGCUGUUCAGAGUUCAAAUCUCUGAUUUUACC